rnacentral:RNase_P_RNA from 1 species
GGGCGCCGAGUCGACUAUCGCCUUCGGGUGAGGAAAGUCCUGGCUCCGCGACGGCUGCUCGCGAAAGUGAGAUCGGGGAAACCUGAUGGCAACGAACGGACAGUAACGAACCGACGCUGCAAUGGAAUGAUACGCCACAAGCCCUGGUGACGGGGCCCGAUGCGUUGACGUCUGUAGCGGGUGGAUGAAACGACCGACCGGGCUGGUGCAAGGCUUCGAGCCGCUCAGUUAAAUGUCGACACCGUGGUCCGAACACGGCACGGCACAGAACCAGGCUUACCGGCGCCC